rnacentral:rRNA from 1 species
GACGAACGCUGGCGGCGGGCUUAACACAUGCAAGUCGAACGGAAAGGCCCUGCUUUUGUGGGGUGCUCGAGUGGCGAACGGGUGAGUAACACGUGAGUAACCUGCCCUUGACUUUGGGAUAACUUCAGGAAACUGGGGCUAAUACCGGAUAGGAGCCCCCGCUGCAUGGUGGGGGUUGGAACGUUUCGGCGGUCGGGGAUGGACUCGCGGCUUAUCAGCUUGUUGGUGGGGUAGUGGCUUACCAAGGCAUUGACGGGUAGCCGGCCUGAGAGGGUGACCGGCGUCAUUGGGACUGAGAUACGGCCCAGACUCCUACGGUAGGCAGCAGUGGGGAAUAUUGCACAAUGGGCGGAAGCCUGAUGCAGCAGCGCCGCGUGCGGGAUGACGGCCUUCGGGUUGUAAACCGCUGUCGCCUGUGACGAAGCGUGAGUGACGGUAAUGAGUAAAGAAGCACCGGCUAACUACGUG